ACACAUGCAAGUCGAACGAUGAAGCCCAGCUUGCUGGGUGGAUUAGUGGCGAACGGGUGAGUAACACGUGAGUAACCUGCCCCUGACUUCGGGAUAACCACGAGAAAUCGUGGCUAAUACCGGAUAUGACACGUGCCCGCAUGGGUGUGUGUGGAAAGAUUUAUCGGUUGGGGAUGGGCUCGCGGCCUAUCAGCUUGUUGGUGGGGUGAUGGCCUACCAAGGCGACGACGGGUAGCCGGCCUGAGAGGGUGACCGGCCACACUGGGACUGAGACACGGCCCAGACUCCUACGGGAGGCAGCAGUGGGGAAUAUUGCACAAUGGGCGCAAGCCUGAUGCAGCGACGCCGCGUGAGGGAUGACGGCCUUCGGGUUGUAAACCUCUUUCAGUAGGGAAGAAGCCUUCGGGUGACGGUACCUGCAGAAGAAGCGCCGGCUAACUACGUGCCAGCAGCCGCGGUAAUACGUAGGGCGCAAGCGUUGUCCGGAAUUAUUGGGCGUAAAGAGCUCGUAGGCGGUUUGUCGCGUCUGCUGUGAAAACGCAAGGCUUAACCUUGCGCCUGCAGUGGGUACGGGCAGACUAGAGUGCGGUAGGGGAGACUGGAAUUCCUGGUGUAGCGGUGGAAUGCGCAGAUAUCAGGAGGAACACCGAUGGCGAAGGCAGGUCUCUGGGCCGUUACUGACGCUGAGGAGCGAAAGCAUGGGGAGCGAACAGGAUUAGAUACCCUGGUAGUCCAUGCCGUAAACGUUGGGCACUAGGUGUGGGAUCCAUUCCACGGGUUCCGUGCCGCAGCUAACGCAUUAAGUGCCCCGCCUGGGGAGUACGGCCGCAAGGCUAAAACUCAAAGGAAUUGACGGGGGCCCGCACAAGCGGCGGAGCAUGCGGAUUAAUUCGAUGCAACGCGAAGAACCUUACCAAGGCUUGACAUACACCGGAAAAGUGCAGAGAUGUGCUCCCCGUAAGGUCGGUGUACAGGUGGUGCAUGGUUGUCGUCAGCUCGUGUCGUGAGAUGUUGGGUUAAGUCCCGCAACGAGCGCAACCCUUGUCCUGUGUUGCCAGCGGGUUAUGCCGGGGACUCAUGGGAGACUGCCGGGGUCAACUCGGAGGAAGGUGGGGAUGACGUCAAAUCAUCAUGCCCCUUAUGUCUUGGGCUUCACGCAUGCUACAAUGGCCGGUACAAAGGGCUGCGAUACCGCGAGGUGGAGCGAAUCCCAAAAAGCCGGUCUCAGUUCGGAUUGGGGUCUGCAACUCGACCCCAUGAAGUCGGAGUCGCUAGUAAUCGCAGAUCAGCAACGCUGCGGUGAAUACGUUCUCGGGCCUUGUACACACCGCCCGUCACGUCAUGAAAGUCGGUAACACCCGAAGCCGGUGGCCCAACCCCUUGUGGGAGGGAGCUGUCG
rnacentral:rRNA from 1 species